rnacentral:lncRNA from 1 species
AACUUCAAAAAACCCCCCCCUGUGGUUUCGUGCUUUCUCACUUUAGUACCCUGUGGUUUAAAACGUAUCAAUUUGCCCCCCUGUGGUUUCGUUUUUUUCUUUUUGUUAUCAAUUUUAUUAUUAUUUUUUUCUUAAAUCAGUGACAAAGUUAAAAUUAAAGGAUACUAAAGUGAAUAUUCGAUAAAUAUAGAUGGUUAUCUGAAGUUUUUUGUAUAUAAUUUAACGAAAUAUUAACGAAAAAGCUUCCGAAAAGAUAAAAAUGAAACCACAGGGGGGCAAAUUGAUACGUUUUAAACCACAGGGUGCUAAAGUGAGAAUGCACGAAACCACAGGGGGGUUUUUGAAGUUUUCCCAAAAAAAAAUUUCCGAGAAAGAAAACUUUCAGUAAAAGUUUCUUUUCCAAUUUUUCGAUAAUUUGAUUUUAUGAAAAAACUAGAAUUCAUGGAUUAGAGUAUAAAAUCUGAAUUUGGAGUUAAGCUAGAAUUAUAAUUUUACAUGUUGGAAUUGGAAUUGAUUUAGAAGAAAUCUAUUGAACCCUACACUGUCAUUUCUGAAAAUUGCAAGAUUUAGCUUUACGAGUUGUGGUUCGUUUGUAUCACCGAUGUUCAUAUGCGGUGGAUAUCCAGAUUAGUGUAGGAUGAGUUUACGCUCGUGCUCGGAUGC